UGGCGGUAGGCCUAACACAUGCAAGUCGAACGGCAGCACAGGAGAGCUUGCUCUCUGGGUGGCGAGUGGCGGACGGGUGAGGAAUACAUCGGAAUCUACUCUGUCGUGGGGGAUAACGUAGGGAAACUUACGCUAAUACCGCAUACGACCUACGGGUGAAAGCAGGGGAUCUUCGGACCUUGCGCGAUUGAAUGAGCCGAUGUCGGAUUAGCUAGUUGGCGGGGUAAAGGCCCACCAAGGCGACGAUCCGUAGCUGGUCUGAGAGGAUGAUCAGCCACACUGGAACUGAGACACGGUCCAGACUCCUACGGGAGGCAGCAGUGGGGAAUAUUGGACAAUGGGCGCAAGCCUGAUCCAGCCAUACCGCGUGGGUGAAGAAGGCCUUCGGGUUGUAAAGCCCUUUUGUUGGGAAAGAAAUCCAGCCGGCUAAUACCUGGUUGGGAUGACGGUACCCAAAGAAUAAGCACCGGCUAACUUCGUGCCAGCAGCCGCRRGUAAUACA
rnacentral:rRNA from 1 species